AUUGUUCCUCGAAGUUGCCCACGCGUUGUAUUUAGAUUCAAUUUUCUUAAACAUUUACACUAGAUUACCUCAGUUACCUUUUUAUUAAUUAUUACGUAUCUAGUCUUACGUACCGUGUUAAAAGGUGUGUCACAAUGAAACCAGGACGAUCAAAGCUUAUGUUAAAACUGGUGGAAGAAAGAAGCAAAAAUGCACAAAUUACGAAUUUUACUCAUGAAGAGUGCACUGAUGAGGAGGACUGUAUACCAGGGACUCCAGAAUGCCAUUCACCUUUACCUCCAGGAGUACGCCAUGCAAUAGUAAAAUGAACGACGUUUAUGAGAAUGUAUUUGCAGACGAUGUACACCGAGCAAACGAAAGUAUUACAGAUGAAAAUAGGAAUCAAAACAUACCAUCCUCUACUUGUUUUCUUAGAGAAAAUCACUUUAUAGUUGGAUAUCAAAAUGCUUCCACACCAGAUUUACUCUCGUCAGAAAAUCAACAUACCGUGUCCCUAAAUAUCAGCCCAGCUUUAAGCCCUUUAAAUACCUCUAUCUUGAUAUCAGAUAUAUCACCUUUCCCACAACCGAUUAACCGAUUGCCAUUACCAGCAAAAGGCCAUGGCGAAGUCUGUAACGAUUUUUGUUGUUGCACUCAUGAUGAAGCGGACUAUAGCAACUGUCCUUCAAUCAACACAGUUGUGUCCUCAUGCCAGUCGUGUCCUCCAGUGCCUCGUAUUCGAUGUAGAGGUAAAGAACGAAUCCGAAAUUACGAUGAUUGAAAAGAAGUUACUAGAAAGCGCUUAAAAAUACCGGGAAAUAAACUCCUCCAAAAAGGGCCUUUUUGUUCCUUCAAAAACUAUGGGUGCCUACCCAGUACUUGCGCGUGUAAAAGUAAAUGUUACACUAUGUUGACCCUUGAAGAAAGACAGGGUGCAUUUGAUAAGUUUUGAGAAUUAGGUGAUUGUGAGAAACAAUGGUUGUAUGUUGCGAAUUAUACUACAAAACAGCAGAAGAAAAGGGGUCUUCAAAGAGCUUUAAAGCAUAACCGUCAAUUCACUAACAAUUAUUUUUUGCCAAAAAAAUCAUCAACAAUAGAGGAUUGUAAAAUCAUGUUUUUAAGUACAUAUUCGAUUAGCGAAAGCUUAGUUCGGACAGCUUGGGAUAAGUAUGACGGAAGCACUUUGAUUGAAGAAGACAUGAGGGGGAAACAUUAUAGAGCAGCGUCCAAAUGGCUGUAUUUAGGUGACUUCGGUGACUUCAGCAUCGGUCGGAUGUUCAAUUUAUACAAAGAAUUGUCUGAACUCCAGCCUUAAAGAAAGCUUAUGUAGGUCUAAUUCCAAUCAGUAAUGAUAAAUAUAACAAUCUUAUUAGUCUUUGCAAUUCCUCAAUAAUACCCACGAAAUAUCAUAAAUUUUUCAGAAGUUUAACUCAUGGACGUAAUGUUACUGAAGCUGGUAAUGAAUCCGACUGAAUAAUUGUGCACUAGGGUUUUUUUUUAUAAUUUUAGUUAUUUUAUUGUUAUUAUUUUGAUCUCUGAAGUUGUGAUUGUUAAGAUUUUUUUCAUUUUAAUUAAUGUUUUUUUCUUUUCUUUAUAAUUAAAUUCUAUAUAAUGAUUAGUAUUUAAAUUUUUAGGUUAGUAAUUUACCAAAAAAUCAGUAAUCAUAUCCAAAUAGAGUCAACAUUAUAGUCUGCUUAGUCUAUAUAGUAAUAAAAGAAUACCUACUAUUGAUAAUAAAUACUUAAUUUAAGCAUAAUGUAUAUCAUGUUGAUUAAAAAAGAGUAAGACCAA